UUUUGUUUGAUUGGUUUGAUGUGAAUGUAGGGGAGAUGUUCCUAAAACGGGUACCCCUCCUAAAACGGGUAGGCUUUGCCAUUCGUAUAUUAUAGGUCUUAGUGUGAACCUGUGAGUGUAGAGCGGUGCACUACCGUCCCGCCGAUCACGGUCAGUUGGCUCGCGCGCCUAGAGUGAGCGUUUUCGAGGUUAAGGUAACCCGAUUUGAAAUAAGGGGCCACUUCCUCAACUGAUCCCACAGAAAGCUAAUCGAAGACAAAGGGAGCUAAAGAAGUACAGGAACAGCGUGAAAAAGAAAUUAAAAUAUGUUUUCUCUGAUUUUUAAUAAAAUUAUCUGCUGGUUGAA